rnacentral:tRNA from 1 species
GCUGAGGUAGUCUAGUCUGGUAGGGCGCAGGCCUGGAAAGCCUGUGGGGACUUUCCCCUCGGGAGUUCAAAUCUCCCCCUCAGCG